rnacentral:lncRNA from 1 species
GUCCCACUCUGUCAGCCAGGCUGGAGUGCAGUGGUGGGAUCACAGCUCACUGCAGCCUCGAACUCCUGGGCUCAAGUGAUUUUCCUGCCUCAGUCUCCUGAGUAGCUGGGAUUACAGGUGCGUGCCACCAUGCCCUACUAAUUUUAUUUUUUGUAGAGAUGAAGUCUUGCUACGUUGCCCAGGCUGGUCUUGGACUCCUAGGCUCAAGUGAUCCUCCUGCCUCAAGCCUCCUAAAACGCUGGGAUUAUACGUGUGAGCCACCACUCCUGGUUAAAUUUCUUUUUUUUAAAUUUAAAACAUGUUAUGGGAGAAGAAGAAGAGGAAUUCUCUUCACCUCUACUUAAGGGGAGUGGCUAGUGCAUGCAGGGAUGUGAGAAAUUAAUGGCAGCCAAGUUUGGAAAGUUGGGCAGGACAAAAGCUGGUGAUACUGAUUUUUGAUGGAAAAACAGUUGAGGUCUAGGGGCAUGGCAUGCCUCUAGAGGCCUGCAGCCUUGUGCAGUUGCCCAGGACUCUGCUCUCAGAAAUGGCAGGAUUGCUCUUGGACACUCAAUUAAAUGCUCUGUUGUCAGCCAUCUUUAAAUUCUUGAUAAUUUUUUAACAAGGGGGCUGGGCGCAGUGGCUCACACUUGUAAUCCCAGCACUUUGGGAGGCCAAGGUGGGCGGAUCACGGGGUUGGGAGAUAGAGACCAUCCUGGCUAACACACGGUGAAACCCCGUCUCUACUAAAAAUACAAAAAAAAAAAAAAAUUAGCCGGGCGUGGUGGCAGGUGCCUGUGGUCCCAGCUACUGGGAAGGCUGAGGCAGGAGAAUUAGCGUGAACCCGGGAGGCGGAGCUUGCAGUGAGCUGGUAUUGCACCACUGCACUCCAGCCUGGGCGACAGAGUGAAACUCCAUCUCAAAAAAAAAAAAAAUUUUUUUUUUUGAACAAGGUGCCCUGCAUUUACAUUUUGCACUGGGCCCUGAGAACAUGAUCAUAGCUCUCUUAUUCCAAGCCUCUUCACAAGGAAGAUUUUUCCAUUCCUUUAGAAAAGUGGAGGAAGGGAAAGACAAGGAGAAAAAGAAAGUAUUUAAAAGUCCUUAACAGAAGAGUGGUGGGCUGGGAGUGAGGGGCAGGGCCUUAUUUUUAGCAACCAUUGCUCCAGGUUAGAACAGAGACAGUUGAGAAGUGUUGUUCUAUUUACUGGACAUUGACAAAAAACUUCUGGCUAAGAAGAGUGGUGUUACUGAAAUGGGAUUCUGAAGUCUUACAAGUUUACUUAGCCUUUCUAAGUCUCUGUUUCCUCCUCUAAAACAGUAUAUUAACCCUACAGCAUGUUGGUGAGGAUUAAGUGUUGGUAAAGAUUAAUACAGAAAUCUAUUUAUUUAUUUAUUUAUUUUUUGAGACAGGGUCUUGUUUUGUCACCUACGCUGGAGUGCAGUGGCGCAAUCACAGCUCACUGCAUCCUUGACCUCUAGGGCUCAAGCAGUCCUCCCACCUCGGCCUCCCAAAGUGCUGGGAUUACCAGCAUGAACAACUGCUCCUGGUCUGACUUCAAAGGAAAUGAUAUGUCCUCUUUAAAGGAAAUGAUAUGUGUACGGUUCCUGGCACAUAGCAGUUACUAACACAGAUUCUUGUUCAUCAGUGGUCUUUGAAAGCUGGACUCUGGGAAGUCCAUUCAAUCGUUCGCUAAGUAUUUACACAUUAAGGGCCUAUUAAAGUCACUGUGGUAGGCCCUGGAGGAUCAUGGAGCUUACAUCAUAAAAAGAAAGGCCCAGUUGACAACUCAAGGAGCUAACCCUCAAGUAGAGGUCAUGAAACCAAUGUAUACAUAAUAGUGAAUUGGUUCAUUCAAUACAUAUUUAUUAAGCCCUAGAAAGAUGAAUAAGACACAGUCCCCACACUGAAGCCCACAGUCUGAUAGGGAAGACACAUUCCCCCAAAUAAUUAUUCAAAGAAACUAGUGCUAAUACAGGGAUAAAAGCACUAGUGAAACUUUACUGAGAGGUUAGCUGUGUGGCAACUGAUAUUCACUAUGACUCUUUGGUGUAGGUUUUAUCAUUGUCACUGCCAUUUUUAUAGAUGAAGCAGACGUGAUUUAGAUAAUUUAUUUGCUUGAAAUCAAGCAGCUUGCAAAUGGUGGAGCUGGGAUUGAAUCCAGGGCUUUCUGUCUCCAAAAGCUAUAUAUGUUAUUAUGUUGUGUGUGUGUGUGUGUGUGUGUGUGUGUGUGUGUGUAUAAUGCAAAUAGAUGGUAUAUAUAUUUACAUACUAAAUAUGUUUCUACAAAUGCAUCUCACAGAAGAAGAAUCAACCCAUUCUGCUCAGGUAAAUGGGGAAGGAAGCCCAGAGGGAGUGGCUUAUGAAUGAGUAUAAAACAAUUAGGACUUCAACAGGCAGAGAAAGAGGGAAGUCAAUUCCAGGAAGAAAAAACAUAAUGUGCAAAUAUGUGAAGUUAUGAAAAUCCAGAGUGAGUACUUCAAAGAAUAACAAGUUGGGCUGGGAAUGGGGUGGCUCAUACCUGUAAUCCCAGCACUUUGGGAGGCCAAGGUGGGAGGGUCACUUGAGGCCAGGAGUUCAAGACCAGCCUGAGUAAAAAAUAAAAAAAUUUAAAAAAAAGGUUGUUUUGGAGCAUCGAAGGAAAGAAAGUUCGUAAAACUUUAUUUGGGAGAUUCUGCAAGGCCUUCAUAUGGAUUUUAAAGGAUAUGGAAGAGUUCCAAGGCCAAGUUCGGAAAGAAGACAUGUUAGAGGAAAUAAAAAUCACUAGAAAAGCCAUUAAUGUGGGAAAAUAAGAUAUCUGUUAGAGGAUGAAGGAGUAGAAAAAUUUUGAACGAAGUGUAGUCAUGAGUGGUAAGUCUGAAUAAGCCAUGCUUAGAAAUAUUUUUGAAUGCCAAGGCAAAGCCACAUCUGUUUCAUUUGACAGGCAGAGCUGAGGUCACAGUUGGCCUGAAGUGAAAAACCCGAAUUCUUGCAGGGACUAGACAAGAUUAGUGGUCUAGGCAUAAAAAUAAUCAGGAGGCAACCAUGACCCAACUCCAGCUCACACCACUCAAGAAUACAGUCACCUGGCCAGAACCUUUGAUUUUUCAAAAGAAGCAAAACAACAAAAAUCCAAAAGCUUAGGUGUCUGCAGGACUAAGCUGUGGUGUGGAGAGCCGCUGGGCAGAGGUGGUACAGGGAGGAUCAGAGAAAGCUCCAGCAAAAGGCUUCUGCUGCUCUAACUUUCUUUCUAUCCUGAUGAAGAAACCCAAAAGCAUUCCUCUCUGAGGCUAUACAGGAAGGAUUGUGCUGGCAUCAGGACUCAGCUUCUGGGGAGGCCUCAGGGAGAUUUUAUUCUCAGCAGAAGGCAAAGCAAGGAGCUUGCACGUCACACAGCAAACACAGGAGCAAGAGAGAGUAGGGGAGGUGCCACGCACUUUAGACAACCUGACCCAACACCUCCCACCAGGCCCCUCCUCCAACACUGGGGAUUACAUUUCAACAUGAGAUUUGGCAGUGUUACGGAUUGAAUUGCAUUCCCUUGAAAGAUGUUGAAGUUCUAACCCGUAGUGCCUGUGAAUGUGACCUUAUUUGGAAAUGGGGUCCUUGCAGAUGAUUAAGUGAAGAUGAAGACAUUAGGGUGGAAAGUUUGGACUCAGAGACAGAGAUGCACACAAGGAAAAGGCCAUGUGAAGAUGAAGAGAUUGGAGUGACGCGCCAACAAGCCAAGGAACAACAAAGAUCGCCACCAAAACACCAGAGGCAAGGAGAGAGGCCGAGAACAGAUUCUCCCUCAUAGCCCUUCGAAGGAUCCAAGCCCAUGACACCUUAAUUUUGGACUUCUACUCUCCAGAGCUGUGAGAGGAUACAUUUCGGUUAUUUUCAGCCACCCAGUUUACGGACUUUGUUAUGGCAGCCUUGGGAAGCAAAUGCACUCAGUACAUGUUAAUUUGUAUCUUACCUACUUUGUACUUGCAAGGUGUCUCUGGGUCUCUGGUGUACACCACGGCCUGCCCUUGAGCAUGCUGGGGUGCUCAGCACGGGGGUAGCCCUGCAGCCUGACUCUCUGUAGACAGAUCAGGAUCGGUCUAACAUGGAAUUAUGAAGUGGAGCCAGGGUCAGCUUUGGGCCACGCCUGCCUUCUGUGCCGGCCUUGGAUUAUGUUCAAAUUCAUCUCAUGCUACCCCAGCAGAAAAGAGUGUCUUCAAUAAAUUCACUCAAAAGGAGGUACCAGUGAAGAAAUUGUCCCUCCCAAGUGAAUGAGUCACACCCAAAUGCUAAGAUCUGAUUCCUUGGUGCCUGGUUGGGAAAGAUUUUGGGGUCAAGGAGGGGCCCACCCAGACUCCCACACCUGCGUGCCCUGUAGGCCAUGCACCCCGCGUACUGUUCUCUGCACAGAUCUCAUGCUGCCAGACAUCAGGGAUCUUUUCUAGCAGAGAAGGCUAUGUAAGCAGCCCAGGUAAACACCUCAGGCCUUC